AAACUGAAGAGUUUGAUCAUGGCUCAGAUUGAACGCUGGCGGCAGGCCUAACACAUGCAAGUCGAGCGGAAACGAUGGAGCUUGCUCCAGGCGUCGAGCGGCGGACGGGUGAGUAAUGCAUAGGAAUCUGCCCGGUAGUGGGGGAUAACCUGGGGAAACUCAGGCUAAUACCGCAUACGUCCUACGGGAGAAAGCAGGGGAUCUUCGGACCUUGCGCUAUCGGAUGAGCCUAUGUCGGAUUAGCUUGUUGGUGAGGUAACGGCUCACCAAGGCGACGAUCCGUAGCUGGUCUGAGAGGAUGAUCAGCCACAUCGGGACUGAGACACGGCCCGAACUCCUACGGGAGGCAGCAGUGGGGAAUAUUGGACAAUGGGCGCAAGCCUGAUCCAGCCAUGCCGCGUGUGUGAAGAAGGCUUUCGGGUUGUAAAGCACUUUCAGUGAGGAAGAAAGCCUUGGGGCCAAUACCCCCGAGGAAGGACAUCACUCACAGAAGAAGCACCGGCUAACUCCGUGCCAGCAGCCGCGGUAAUACGGAGGGUGCGAGCGUUAAUCGGAAUUACUGGGCGUAAAGCGCGCGUAGGUGGCUUGAUAAGCCGGUUGUGAAAGCCCCGGGCUCAACCUGGGAACGGCAUCCGGAACUGUCAGGCUAGAGUGCAGGAGAGGAAGGUAGAAUUCCCGGUGUAGCGGUGAAAUGCGUAGAGAUCGGGAGGAAUACCAGUGGCGAAGGCGGCCUUCUGGACUGACACUGACACUGAGGUGCGAAAGCGUGGGUAGCAAACAGGAUUAGAUACCCUGGUAGUCCACGCCGUAAACGAUGUCGACUAGCCGUUGGGGUCCUAGAGACCUUUGUGGCGCAGUUAACGCGAUAAGUCGACCGCCUGGGGAGUACGGCCGCAAGGUUAAAACUCAAAUGAAUUGACGGGGGCCCGCACAAGCGGUGGAGCAUGUGGUUUAAUUCGAUGCAACGCGAAGAACCUUACCUACCCUUGACAUCGUGCGAACUU
rnacentral:rRNA from 1 species